rnacentral:rRNA from 1 species
AACGAACGCUGGCGGCAGGCCUAACACAUGCAAGUCGAGCGGACCCUUCGGGGUUAGCGGCGGACGGGUGAGUAACGCGUGGGAACGUGCCCUUUGCUUCGGAAUAGCCCUGGGAAACUGGGAGUAAUACCGGAUACGCCCUUUUGGGGAAAGAUUUAUCGGCGAAGGAUCGGCCCGCGUUGGAUUAGGUAGUUGGUGGGGUAAUGGCCUACCAAGCCGACGAUCCAUAGCUGGUUUGAGAGGAUGAUCAGCCACACUGGGACUGAGACACGGCCCAGACUCCUACGGGAGGCAGCAGUGGGGAAUCUUAGACAAUGGGGGAAACCAUGAUCUAGCCAUGACGCGUGAGCGAUGAAGGCCUUAGGGUUGUAAAGCUCUUUCACCGGGGAAGAUAAUGACGGUACCCGGAGAAGAAGCCCCGGCUAACUCCGUG